CCGCCACGCCUUGCCUCUCCUCGGCCCUGUCCUCCGCCUCCACCUCCCCGCCUCCAAGCAAUGACGACCGCCCGAGAUCCAUAGUGACAGCGGCUGCAGUGGCCCGAUGGAAGCGGCAGCCAUCCCUAGCCGUUGCCGCGUUCUUCUGCUACUCACGUUGGCCAUGGAUCUGCAGCAGGGGCCUCCCUCCUCCGUUUCCCAGAGCCUGCAGCUGAUUCGCCAUCCGGAGAUUCGGAGCAGCAAGCGCCGGACCAGGAGAGGACGAGGGCCGUGACCUGCUGGAGGCACGAGCGCGGCCUCGUCGACGGUGACGACGCCCCGCACAAGAUCCGUAGGAGCUCUUUGCCUCUCCAAUUCCAUGGACGGUGACGAACGGGACCCCACGCUCAAACCCGACGAGCUGGAACGGGCGAGGUCAUCCGAGCCGACCAUCGUGAUUCCCCACAGAACAAUAAGGUCUAUCUCAUGGACACCCAGAUUUUGUAUGCAAUUUUCUCAACACCCAGAUUGGAGCUUAAGGUUGGACAUUUUGAUGGGACUGCAAAUCUUUGGAUGUUGGUGCUGAGAUUGAUGUGGCCCUACCUACAUGUAAGCGAAGCUUAUGAUGUCGAUCCUCCAGGAUGCACUGCCAUCAUGUUACCUCACAAACUGUUGGUGGUAAUUUUGCAUCACCACUUAUUAAUUUAUUUAUUAUUGUUCUUGUCAAAUGCUAAUUCUUGUCAAAUAGUAAUUCUUCAGCUGAAUGUUGAUGAUCUCUUAUGGUUGCAAGAGAAAUGUAUCCUUGGGCAAAAUGUCCACAUUCUUAGGUAUGAUUGCUUACGUGGCUACUUGGUGCUGGGCUACUUGGUGCUGCCCAUCACAAUUUGCACUGACAAUUUCCAUCAAGAGGGCCGACAGCAAGAACUUGAAUAGCAACUUCAAUAGUUUAAAUGAUUUGUUUGUUUGAACUGGAUUGUACUAUUUUCUAACUUUCCCAAGUGAUGUAUUUUGUCAAUCUAUGUUGUAAACUCUCAUUUCAUGGAGCAUUUUGUAAGCUGCUAUGUUGUAGAUACUUGUGAAUUAUUGCAUUUUGAUUCAUA